GUUCAUAAAUAUAGAUAAAAAGCACUAAAAAUCUUUAAAAACUGUUAAAUAUACCUUUUGUGAUUGCUUUUAGUGGCGGAUUAAACAACCAAUAGCUGGCACAGUCUGAUUUCAAAUCAGCCAAUGAGGUUGAUUGUCCCGCCCCUUAAAAUACGUUACUGAGAUUUUGCUCAGAUUGCGUCAGACACGCUUCAGAGCUCAGAGCUGACCGUUGCUGAAGAAUCUUGGAAAUCGCCCCAUUGUUUUGGUUCCUGGCGGGAUUUUUCUCUUCCAGCUAGUAGACAUUGGAGCAACACCAUGCCUGGAUCGCAUGAGUAAGUACUUUCUGCAUCAGUCUAUAGCCCUGUGAUGAGGCCUGCUGAGUCGGAGUUGGAAUAAAGUGUAGGAAGUUUCAGAUUGAACCUUUUUGAACCCAGAAAGAGCCGACCGCCAUGUGGUGUGUCGUCCGUUAUGCCAGAACCCACAAAAAUAUAUCUGAACUUAUCUGGCCAACCAGUGCAUGACAGGUGAACCCAAGGCAGCUCGAAAGGAGUAACUUGCUGCAGCCAAGAAGGUGGACACUGAAAGGCCGUCGGUGGGAUUACCAUCAGCUCUGCAGGUGAAGCCCGGAUACCGCAGGCAGGUACGGUCUUCUCCAACGACUCCAGGAGGACGAGUUCAUAGUUCUGAACCCGUCAGACGAGGAUGAGCUGUCGAGAUUGAGGAGCAGCUGCAGCAGUUGCCCACAAGCCUGCCCGCUCCUUCAGGCAGAGGAGCCAAUAGUCCCCGCCGUGUAGGAGUCUGUCGUUGUCCCAGUCAGGAAGCAAGGACCAAGAGCAAUUGGGAAGCUCGCAGAGCUCCCGGACUCAGCAGGGGGCCCGCAAGUCCAUAAAGGAGAUGGGACUGUACAAGAAAGCGGCCUCUGACAACCCCCUUCUCCAGCGCUACAAGGCCCACUUAAAAGGCAAAUUAAAAAUAAGAAACGCCAAACAAUAGAUGGCAAUCGUGUGUUGAUGGGUGAAGUUCCUGGUUCCAGAUGCCGCUCAGGUGACGGCGGGCUUUAUUAAGACAGAACAGAAGAUGGGGGAGUAUGUGAAGAAGCUGAAGGUGGCCAAGCUGAGGACGGCCACUGUCAGCCAGGUGUUGUCCAACAUGGUGCGUUUCACCGACUUCUUCGCCAAAGGGCAGUGGAGAAGCAAGGAGACUUAGUGUGCGACGCUUUCACCCAGGCACUCAGGUUCACCAUCAAGACACUCAGGAACGAGGACAAACGGAGCAAAAGGCAAGCGAGCGAAAAGCUCCAGACUGACGGCUUGAUGUCAGUCUGGAGCUUUCUUCUGCAGCCUAUCCCCAGAUAAAGUAAGGCCCGAGAAACUGAAACCGGAGUUUCUCGCCCUGUCCAGAGUCAAGAGGCUGCUUUGAGAGAGCAGCUAUAAUUCAGCUGAAAAAAAAACCUUAUUUCAAGCACAGAUUUUGCCAUCUAUAAGAAAAGACAGAGCAAACUGGACUUCUAGAGGAAGCUAAGAUCCUUCAAGGUUUGCACCAAGAUGCUGCAGAUCUUCUAUAAAUCUGUUGCUGAGAGCGUCAUUUCUUAUGCUGUCAUCUGCUUGGGCAUCAGCGUCAGAGCCAAGGACCUAAAAAGGCUCGACAGCCUGAUAAAGAAGACGGGUUCUGUUCUGGUUCUGUGGAACCUCUGCAGAUGAUUAUGCAAAGAAGGAUUUUUCAUAAAAUCAAGAAAAUUACGGACAACCCUGACCAUCGUCUUCAUGAGACUCUUAGGAAGGCAGAGCAUCUUCAGCCAGAGGCUUCUUCAGAUUUACUGUAACACAGACUGCUGCAGGAGAUCUUUCCUGCCAACAGCCAUUACAAUC